UACGGGGGGGAGCAAGCGUUGUUCGGAUUUACUGGGCGUAAAGGGCGCGUAGGCGGCCAGCACAAGUCAGUUGUGAAAUCUCCGAGCUUAACUCGGAACGGUCAACUGAUACUGUGCGGCUAGAGUGCGGAAGGGGCAACUGGAAUUCUUGGUGUAGCGGUGAAAUGCGUAGAUAUCAAGAGGAACACCUGCGGCGAAGGCGGGUUGCUGGGCCGACACUGACGGCUGAGGCGCGAAAGCCAGGGGAGCGAACGGG
rnacentral:rRNA from 1 species